UACGAAGGGGGCUAGCGCUGCUCGGAAUCACUGGGCGUAAAGGGUGCGUAGGCGGGUCUUUAAGUCAGGGGUGAAAUCCUGGAGCUCAACUCCAGAACUGCCUUUGAUACUGAAGAUCUUGAGUUCGGGAGAGGUGAGUGGAACUGCGAGUGUAGAGGUGAAAUUCGUAGAUAUUCGCAAGAACACCAGUGGCGAAGGCGGCUCACUGGCCCGAUACUGACGCUGAUGCACGAAAGCGUGGGGAGCAAACAGG
rnacentral:rRNA from 1 species